CAAGUCGAGCGAAUGGAUUAAGAGCUUGCUCUUAUGAAGUUAGCGGCGGACGCCUGAGUACACGUGGGUAACCUGCCCAUAAGACUGGGAUAACUCCGGGAAACCGGGGCUAAUACCGGAUAACAUUUUGAACCGCAUGGUUCGAAAUUGAAAGGCGGCUUCGGCUGUCACUUAUGGAUGGACCCGCGUCGCAUUAGCUAGUUGGUGAGGUAACGGCUCACCAAGGCAACGAUGCGUAGCCGACCUGAGAGGGUGAUCGGCCACACUGGGACUGAGACACGGCCCAGACUCCUACGGGAGGCAGCAGUAGGGAAUCUUCCGCAAUGGACGAAAGUCUGACGGAGCAACGCCGCGUGAGUGAUGAAGGCUUUCGGGUCGUAAAACUCUGUUGUUAGGGAAGAACAAGUGCUAGUUGAAUAAGCUGGCACCUUGACGGUACCUAACCAGAAAGCCACGGCUAACUACGUGCCAGCAGCCGCGGUAAUACGUAGGUGGCAAGCGUUAUCCGGAAUUAUUGGGCGUAAAGCGCGCGCAGGUGGUUUCUUAAGUCUGAUGUGAAAGCCCACGGCUCAACCGUGGAGGGUCAUUGGAAA
rnacentral:rRNA from 1 species